UACGUAGGGGGCAAGCGUUGUCCGGAAUCAUUGGGCGUAAAGAGCGUGUAGGCGGCCCGGUAAGUCUGUUGUGAAAGUCCAGGGCUCAACCCCGGAAUUGCCUUUAAGACUGCAUCGCUUGAAUCCAGGAGAGGUGAGUGGAAUUCCGAGUGUAGAGGUGAAAUUCGUAGAUAUCAAGCGGAACACCGGUGGCGAAGGCGGCUAUCUGGACUGUGAUUGACGCUGAGGCGCGAAAGCGUGGGGAGCAAACAGG
rnacentral:rRNA from 1 species